UGAUGUUAUGCUUGAUAAAAUAUUUUUGUAAAACAAUCCUAAUUUUUAAUCAAUAUCAUUUUGUGCGAUUAUUUUGUUGUCAAUUCAAUUAUGCUUAUUUAUAAAAUAUAUAUAUAUUUUCUUCGAAUUUUGCUAAAUAUUUAAAUAUAUUGAAUAUUUUAUCUAUUCAAGGGAAUCGUUAAUUCAUGUUAAUUUAUGUUACAAGUAUUAAUGAUAUAAUCAUCAUCGAUAUAAUCAUCCGUGAGUAAACAAGAACAAAAAGUCAUUUAGAUAAAUGACUAUUUUAAAUAUUUAAAAAUAUUUCACGGCCACUAUAUAUAUUUCUUUAUUGGUAUUCUGUAGAGUAGAAAUGACGAUGCAAGACCAGUUUCAAGGAAUCAUAUGUGAAUGUGUGCCACUGAUUUACAGGAAAAAUUUUAUCUAUUCGUAAUUUGCAUAUCAAUUGUACGUUUAAAAUUAGUGAGAAUUAGAGGACUUGGGAAAAACCUAAGAGACUUUAUUUUUAUUUUUUUUUUUUGAGAGAAUAAAUUCUAUUUUAUUAUUUUUUUUUUCAAAAUAUUUUCCUUUUUUUACUAUUGAUCCUUUCCUGAUUUUCCUUUAUUUGAUAAAAAAGUUUUAUUUAUAAAUAAAAAGGAAUGAAACUUGA